rnacentral:ncRNA from 1 species
GCCCUCAAUCCGAAUUGUGGCGUUUAUCGCCGCGUUUCCUCCGGGAAUAGGACUGGGGGUUUUC